AUACGGAGGGUGCAAGCGUUAAUCGGAAUUACUGGGCGUAAAGCGCACGCAGGCGGUCUGUCAAGUCGGAUGUGAAAUCCCCGGGCUUAACCUGGGAACUGCAUUCGAAACUGGCAGGCUAGAGUCUUGUAGAGGGGGGUAGAAUUCCAGGUGUAGCGGUGAAAUGCGUAGAGAUCUGGAGGAAUACCGGUGGCGAAGGCGGCCCCCUGGACAAAGACUGACGCUCAGGUGCGAAAGCGUGGGGAGCAAACAGGAUUAGAUACCCUGGUAGUCCACGCCGUAAACGAUGUCGACUUGGAGGCUGUUUCCUUGAGAAGUGGCUUCCGGAGCUAACGCGUUAAGUCGACCGCCUGGGGAGUACGGCCGCAAGGUUAAA
rnacentral:rRNA from 1 species